UAUCUGCUUUACAUGCAGAAAACCCUGGGUUCAAGCCCCAGUGAAACCA
rnacentral:tRNA from 1 species